rnacentral:rRNA from 1 species
UACGGAGGGGGCAAGCGUUGUUCGGAUUUACUGGGCGUAAAGGGCGCGUAGGCGGCAUGACAAGUCACUUGUGAAAUCUCUGGGCUUAACCCAGAACGGCCAAGUGAAACUGUCGCGCUAGAGUGCGGAAGGGGCAAUCGGAAUUCUUGGUGUAGCGGUGAAAUGCGUAGAUAUCAAGAGGAACACCUGAGGUGAAGACGGGUUGCUGGGCCGACACUGACGCUGAUGCGCGAAAGCCAGGGGAGCAAACGGG